GCGUUUGCUUGAAAAAGUAUUGGCAAGAGUGGUACUGAGAAGUGCUAAACUGUUUCAAUGUAUUAGGUUUAUCCAACUCGUUGAAUCUGAUUAGUAGUGAUCUGUGCUUAGGCUCGGCCUUACAACAACAAACAAAGUUUGACCUCAAAUCAGGUAGGAUUACCCGCUGAACUUAAGCAUAUCAAUAAGCGGAGGAAAAGAAACCAACAGGGAUUGCCUUAGUAACGGCGAGUGAAGCGGCAAAAGCUCAAAUUUGAAAUCUGGCACUUUCAGUGUCCGAGUUGUAAUUUGAAGAAGGUAACUCUGGAGUUGGCCCUUGUCUAUGUUCCUUGGAACAGGACGUCACAGAGGGUGAGAAUCCCGUGCGAUGGGGUGUCCAAUUCUAUGUAGAGUGCUUUCGAAGAGUCGAGUUGUUUGGGAAUGCAGCUCUAAGUGGGUGGUAAAUUCCAUCUAAAGCUAAAUAUUGGCGAGAGACCGAUAGCGAACAAGUACAGUGAUGGAAAGAUGAAAAGAACUUUGAAAAGAGAGUGAAAAAGUACGUGAAAUUGUUGAAAGGGAAGGGCUUGAGAUCAGACUCGGUAUUUUGCGAUCCUAUCCUUCGUGGAGAGGUUUCAUUUGCAGCUUACCGGGCCAGCAUCGGUUUGGAUGGUAGGAUAAUGACAUUGGAAUGUGGCUCUUCGGAGUGUUAUAGCCCUUGUUGAUACUGCCUAUCUAGACCGA
rnacentral:rRNA from 1 species